GCCAGACUCCUACGGGAGGCAGCAGUGGGGAAUAUUGCACAAUGGGGGAAACCCUGAUGCAGCGACGCCGCGUGAGUGAAGAAGUAUUUCGGUAUGUAAAGCUCUCUCAGCAGGAAAGAAAAUGACGGUACCUGACUAAGAAGCCCCGGCUAACUACGUGCCAGCAGCCGCGGUAAUACGUAGGGGGCAAGCGUUAUCCGGAAUUACUGGGUGUAAAGGGAGCGCAGACGGCAGUGCAAGUCUGGAGUGAAAGCCCGUGGCUUAACCACGGGACUGCUCUGGAAACUGUGUAGCUAGAGUGCAGGAGAGGUAAGUGGAAUUCCUAGUGUAGCGGUGAAAUGCGUAGAUAUUAGGAGGAACACCGGUGGCGAAGGCGGCUUACUGGACUGUAACUGACGUUGAGGCUCGAAAGCGUGGGGAGCAAACAGGAUUAGAUACCCGAUAGU
rnacentral:rRNA from 1 species